GGUGAUGUAGCUCAGCGGUAGAGCACUUGCCUAGCAUAUGAGAGGCCCUGGAUUCAAUCCUCAGCACCACAU
rnacentral:tRNA from 1 species